rnacentral:ribozyme from 1 species
UAAUAAUAUACCCAAAAUAUGAAGAAAGAAAUGAAAAGUGAUCAUAAAGAUGAAAAAGACCAAUUUUCUAUUUGUUUUCUCUUUUUAUUCCUCUUCAUAAUAAUUCUUUUAUCUUCGUUCUUUCUUUCUCUUGGGAUAUUAAAAGAAGCAUGAACAGAAACCAGAGAGAGACACAUGAUUGUAAUUCAGUUCUUUCUUCCUUUCAUUCUAACUUCGUUCUUUCUCUUUUAAAUAGAAUGGAAAUGAAGAGGAAUAGGAUUCACUUCGCUCACUCGUGAUUU